UGAUUUUUUUUUUUAACUUUUGAUUUUUCUUUUGAGUUUUUUCUCAGUACACUACAUCAAUCUGGACAAUUCCAGUGGCUAUCGAAACCUUAUAUGUUCUGGCACCAAACGAUGAGGCCACUUUUUUCAAAAAUAAUCCGAAUAAAAAGUUAUCAUCAAAAAUGUAUUUCAUAGGGGGUCGGAGUGUAGAUUGCUCUUAAAUUAUUGUAGUGUUGUACUAAUGUCGGCUUUGGAGAGACCUACAAGUAGAGUAUACGCCCUGGCUGGUGCGAGACCAUCGACAAGAAUUAUAUCCUUCAGAGCAUAAUAUUUGGGAACCAAUUUUCAAAAGU